rnacentral:rRNA from 1 species
GUUUCUGACCUAUCAGCUUUCGACGGUAUGGUAUUGGCUUACCGUGGCAGUGACGGUUAACGGGGGAUUAGGGUUCGAUUCCGGAGAGGGAGCCUGAGAAACGGCUACCACAUCUAAGGAAGGCAGCAGGCGCGCAAAUUACCCAAUUCUAACAGCAUAAGAGAGGUAGUGACAAGAAAUAACAAUACAAGGUAAUUAAAUUGCUUUGUAAUUGGAAUGAUAGAAAUUUAAACACUUUUUAAAGUAUCAAUUGGAGGGCAAGUCUGGUGCCAGCAGCCGCGGUAAUUCCAGCUCCAAUAGCGUAUAUUAAAAUUGUUGCAGUUAAAAAGCUCGUAGUUGAAUUUCUGUUAAAAAUAACCGGUCUGCUUUUAUUAAAAGUGGUAUCUUGGUGUGUUUUUAGCAAUAAUGUCCUUUGAAAUGUUUUUUACUUUAUUGUAAUAAGUCAUUAUUUUGAGGAUUUUUACUUUGAGAAAAUUAGAGUGUUUCUAGCAGGCUUACGCUUUUGAAUACUGCAGCAUGGAAUAAUAAGAUAGGAUUUUAGUUCUACAUUAUUGGUUUUAAGAACUAAAUUAAUGAUUGAUAGGG